AGAUCAUCAGCUGCAACUAAAUUCCCUGGUCUUUGUUUGGCUCCUUCUUUGAUAUUCUAUGUUGGUUUGGUUGGCAGCUGGAUCUGAAAUUGGGUAGACAUGGAUCGAAAGAGAAAGAGGAAGAUUGUGACAACUCUAGUUGCAGUAGAGUUAGA